rnacentral:tRNA from 1 species
GUGCGUUUAGCUUAACGGUAAAGCCGCGUCCUCAUAAGACGUUUUAUGCAGGUUCAAUCCCUGUCGCGCACACCA